UACGUAGGGUGCAAGCGUUGUCCGGAAUUAUUGGGCGUAAAGAGCUCGUAGGCGGUCUGUUGCGUCGGCUGUGAAAACCCGGGGCUCAACCCUCGGGCCUGCAGCCGAUACGGGCAGACUAGAGUUCGGCAGGGGAGACUGGAAUUCCUGGUGUAGCGGUGAAAUGCGCAGAUAUCAGGAGGAACACCGGUGGCGAAGGCGGGUCUCUGGGCCGAUACUGACGCUGAGGAGCGAAAGCGUGGGGAGCGAACAGG
rnacentral:rRNA from 1 species